GUACUCUGGCGACACAUGUACUAAAAUUGAAAUGAUACAGUGAAGAUUAGCAUGGCCCCCGAGCAAGGAUGAUUCACAAAUUUGUGAAGUAUUUCAUAAUAAA
ensembl:snRNA U6 U6 spliceosomal RNA